GUGGGGAAUAUUGGGCAAUGGGCGAAAGCCUGACCCAGCAACGCCGCGUGAAGGAAGAAGGUUUUCGGAUCGUAAAGCUCUUUCGUUAGGGACGAACGUGCUCUUUGUGAAUAAUGAGGAGUAAUGACGGUACCUAAAUAAGAAGCCACGGCUAACUACGUGCCAGCAGCCGCGGUAAUACGUAGGUGGCAAGCGUUGUCCGGAAUUAUUGGGCGUAAAGCGCGCGCAGGCGGGAUAUCAAGUCUGUCUUAAAAGUGCGAGGCUCAACCUCGUGAGGGGACAGAAACUGGUAUUCUUGAGUGUCGGAGAGGAAAGUGGAAUUCCAAGUGUAGCGGUGAAAUGCGUAGAGAUUUGGAAGAACACCAGUGGCGAAGGCGACUUUCUGGACGAUGUCUGACGCUGAGGCGCGAAAGCUAGGGGAGCGAACGGGAUUAGAUACCCUUGUAGUCC
rnacentral:rRNA from 1 species